AACAGUGAGGCUGACAAUGAUACGUAAUAGGUCAAAGCGGACAAUAUCUACGAAGAAGGCAAGAAGAGGCGUUAUAGAUGUGUACAAAAGGCUGAAAUCACAAUAUGACUUCCUUUGCAGAAAAUUUGGCCUAAACAGAAGAGAAAAUGGAAGUGAUUCAAGGGCUUAUAAUCAAGAUCUUGCAUCCUCACCAGUGGUCUCCAUCUUAUUGGAGAUAUACAAGGACUCGUCGUCAAGCGCAGGCGGGGCGUGACGCACGUGACGAUUUUCUUCGAGAACAUCAUAGAGAAUAUAAACGAGGCUAUGAAGGAAAGAGUUCAUAAUCUUGCUCUUCUUGAAGUGGUUGUAAAAGACAUCAACAUGGAUGUCUCAGACAACGAGAUCCAGGGAUUUGAAUGCUUUUUAAUCCACCACACAAUCAGCAGCUGCCAGUUUCAGUGGCUAGCAAUAGAGGCGUGGAGCCAGUGAGAACGAAUGCAAGCAAUGCAUUAAGUUUUAUGACGCUGUUCUUCAAAAUGAUGGUAUCUAACAAACCCAUCUUUAUAAUUGGUA